AACAACAGAAACAAAAUGAUCAGACAAGCGGUAACAGGACAUCUAUAACCUGAACAAAUAUGAUCUCAAAUUUAUGUUGACUAAGGACAUUCUGUUGACCAGUAGCCUUAGCAUUACCUGGACACCAGACACAAGGGAUCCAGCAAGGACACCAGAUAGAGUUUCAACACCGAAAAAGAUCCCAACAAUGAGGGGUGUGAGCAUGACAAGUGCACCAGGUGGGAUCAUCUCCUUGAUAGAUGCAUCAGUGGAGAUCUUAACACAGGUGGCAUAGUCAGGCUUGGCAGUGCCUUCCAUCAAGCCAGGGAUGGUGUUGAAUUGCCUGCGAACUUCCUCAACCAUCUUAAGUGCUGCACUUCCCACGCUCUUCAUUGUCAUGGCAGAGAACCAGUAAGGAAGCAUUGCACCCACAAUCAAACCAAUGAAAACUUUUGGAGUCAAUACAUCGACUGUU
rnacentral:lncRNA from 1 species